GUGGGGAAUCUUCCGCAAUGGACGAAAGUCUGACGGAGCAACGCCGCGUGAGUGAUGAAGGUCUUCGGAUUGUAAAGCUCUGUUAAUCGGGACGAAAGAGCCUAGUGUGAAUAAUGCUAGGAAGUGACGGUACCGGAAUAGAAAGCCACGGCUAACUACGUGCCAGCAGCCGCGGUAAUACGUAGGUGGCAAGCGUUGUCCGGAAUUAUUGGGCGUAAAGCGCGCGCAGGCGGAUCUGCCAGUCUGUCUUAAAAGUUCGGGGCUUAACCCCGUGAUGGGAUGGAAACUACAGAUCUAGAGUAUCGGAGAGGAAAGUGGAAUUCCUAGUGUAGCGGUGAAAUGCGUAGAUAUUAGGAAGAACACCAGUGGCGAAGGCGACUUUCUGGACGAAAACUGACGCUGAGGCGCGAAAGCUAGGGGAGCGAACGGGAUUAGAAACCCCGGUAGUCC
rnacentral:rRNA from 1 species